rnacentral:sRNA from 1 species
UACAAUGAGUGUCAUUACAUCACAAUUGA